UCUUCUAAACAGUCUGGCUAUAAAGCUUUCUUAAGACUGCAUGCAAGUAGUCAGUCUUCACAGAAAACUGUGAUGGAUUGGUACAUGAUGACUGCUGACUGGAAUCACUGUGGCUCCCCUUACUCCAAGUACCAAGACUUCAGGAGGAUUCUACUAAAUACAACAAAGCUAAAGAGUGGGAUCCAGUUCCUUAUAUAUAACGUGACACAGAGGUUGUUCCUCUUCCCUGAUGCCUCUUCCCUCCUUGCAUGAAUGACAGGCAGUUCCAUUCCUCCCAAGAAAAUCAUCUAGGGACAAAACUACCCCAUGCAUCAGACCAGUGAGGGGACUAAUUGUGUUGGGAGCAGCUCUGCAGAAAACACCUUGGGCUUCCAGUGGACAGCAAGAUGAACAUGAGCCAGGAAGAGGCAAUAAAGACCAACCACAUACUGUGCUACAAUAGCAAGUAUGUCGCCAACAGAUGGCCAUUUUCUGCUGCUGGACUGGAGGUGAACCUAGGUGAAUCAGCAUGUACCCAGUAACCAAUACUGCAGAGUCAGCAUUAACAGGAGUCAAGAAAUGCUGCCUCCCACAGAGACAAGACACUGGAACAACUGUGCAUAGCCUUCAGGAGAAGCAGUGUUUCCUUAUUCCUAUAAUGUUCAGAGCUUUCUGGGAACCAGGAACUGAAACUGGCUGAGGUGGUACCAGCAGGAUGACUGGCAUCCAUUCGCCUUGGUGAGAACAAGCAUCACUCUGCUCUCGCUGAGUUUCUGUUGUUUGGGUUGAUAAGCACUGUCUGGGAACUCACUCCAGGAAAGAUGCUGAGCCUGAAGACAGCCAAAACAGAGUUUUGCCAAAAAAGAAAAU